rnacentral:rRNA from 1 species
UACGUAGGGGGCAAGCGUUGUCCGGAUUUAUUGGGCGUAAAGAGCGUGUAGGCGGCCACACAGGUCAGCUGUGAAAACUCGAGGCUCAACCUCGAGACGUCGGUUGAAACCGUAUGGCUAGAGUCCGGAAGAGGAGAGUGGAAUUCCCGGUGUAGCGGUGAAAUGCGCAGAUAUCUGGAGGAAUACCGGUGGCGAAGGCGGCAUCCUGGACCAUUACUGACGCUGAGGCGCGAAAGCUAGGGGAGCAAACGGG